rnacentral:tRNA from 2 species
GGGAGUGUUUGCACAACUGGUGUUGGCCAUGGUCUUCAAAACCAUCGGGGGGUUUGAACAAAGCUCCCAGUGGGUUCAAUUCCCAUACAUUCCCGC